UACGGGAGGCAGCAGUGGGGAAUAUUGGACAAUGGGCGCAAGCCUGAUCCAGCCAUGCCGCGUGUGUGAAGAAGGCCUUUUGGUUGUAAAGCACUUUAAGCGAGGAGGAGGCUACUUGGAUUAAUACUCUAGGAUAGUGGACGUUACUCGCAGAAUAAGCACCGGCUAACUCUGUGCCAGCAGCCGCGGUAAUACAGAGGGUGCGAGCGUUAAUCGGAUUUACUGGGCGUAAAGCGUGCGUAGGCGGCUUCUUAAGUCGGAUGUGAAAUCCCUGAGCUUAACUUAGGAAUUGCAUUCGAUACUGGGAAGCUAGAGUAUGGGAGAGGAUGGUAGAAUUCCAGGUGUAGCGGUGAAAUGCGUAGAGAUCUGGAGGAAUACCGAUGGCGAAGGCAGCCAUCUGGCCUAAUACUGACGCUGAGGUACGAAAGCAUGGGGAGCAAACAGGAUUAGAUACCCUGGUAGUCCAUGCCGUAAACGAUGUCUACUAGCCGUUGGGGCCUUUGAGGCUUUAGUGGCGCAGCUAACGCGAUAAGU
rnacentral:rRNA from 1 species